UUUAAAAAGAAAUGAGAGUCGCCUCUCAGAAGUUGAAUGAACAGAAGGCUCAGAAAAUUAAGCUGAUGAGGUGUCACAGGAAGUGAACAGAUGCAUACUCAGCGGGCCUGAGUAAUGGUACCCGUUAUCAGCUCUGGGGUAAACAGCUGCCACAUCACAGGAUCAGUGUAGUUUGUACCACAAACCUAAUGGAAAGGGUUGAAGAACCAAAGCGAUGGAUGAGUUUGAGCCAGCAUAACUACAAGGGAUUCAGGGCAGCGACUCACGGAUGGGAUGUUGACAAAGGAAA